rnacentral:lncRNA from 1 species
UUUAACGUCUAUUUCUGUCUUUUAUGCAAAGGUACGUUCUCUUUCCUUUUUCUUUAAUUUGUUUAGAAAUUCAACGCCAAUAAUAGUUCAUCCUUUUUCAAAAUUUUUGUCGGGAUACAUUAAAUAAGGAGAGGGGUAAAGAGAUGGAUGAGAAAAUUUUACGGUGCAAAAAGAUAAAUAAACGGAUUUUUAUGACAGUUAUAUUCGUUCAACGUGAAAUAAGAAAUCGAUUCUUCUGUAUUAAAAUUUUUAAAAUUCAUCUUGGUAAUAGAAGUUCUAAAUCUGAAAUAAGAGUUUUGGUAAUAUUAUAUUUCAUUUAGCCUAAAUUGUUAUGCAUGCACUUAUUUAGUGAAAUUUAAGUGCUAAAAUGAAAGACUAUAAUAUUACAAUGAAAGACUAUAAUAUUACACGAUAUGCUAUAUAAGAGAUAUCAUAUUUUUAAUGGUUGCCAUGCAAAAUUCUCAAGUCAAUUUUUUUUAAUUCUUCUUUCUCUUACUGAUGUUUGUCUCACGAUCGAUACGUAUUCGGAUUUUAAACGGUUUAAUCUUGAUAAAAAAAACUAAUUUUUUUUUCAAAUGCUAUUUAGUAGUAGAUGUUAGUAUUCGUUUUCUUAGUAUUGUCUAUGUAUGUUUUGUCCUUAUGGGUUUAUCAAUUCAUGAUGGAAGUAAUGUGUUGUGAAAUUUGGAAAGAGGAUAAGAUUAGAGUGACUUCGAUAUGAUUUCUUAUAUUUUCUUCUUUCUUUGUGUAUCGUCUUGGUUUUUCCUUUGUUAAAGAUACCAUCUAUUUAUAAUUUUUUGGUUUAGGAAAUUUUAACAGACACUGCAAAAAUAAUACAAACAUUUGUAAAAGACGGGUCAUUCCAAGGACCUAGAAUUUAUAAUUAUGCAAUUAUGUCAGGGAGAAGUGUUCAAGUUCUUCACAUUAGAGGUACAUUGUAUAAUUUUCAAGUUGUCAUAUGUAGAAAGGUAACAUGUAAUGAUUAUACUUUUUAGAAGUAAUUUAUGUGUUAUUUCAUAUGGCUCAUCAACUACAUCAAAUUCAAAAAGUUUCUCUACCUAAUAAACUUACGGAGGAAAAAAAUUAUGAUAGUUGCACGAAAUAAAAGUCAUAUUAUCAGUGCAUGAAUUGGUUGAAUUAUUCUUUUUGUCACAACUGAUUAGCUUUCACUUUAUGAUUCUUCAUAGCGAUAGUUACCAAAAUUUUAACAUUAAGCAUGGAUAAAUUCAAUUUCGUAUUUCACCGAGGGUUUUGUCAAAAGAACCAGGAUUGUUAUCUCAUUAUUUUACAAUUCAAAGUCUCAAUUAGAUUUUAAAUAUGGUAUUAUUUAAAUUAUAGGUAAAUAAGUAAAAAAAAUUAAUCGUCAAUAAAUAGGAAAAAUGCACAAAGCAGUAGAUAGUUAUAGGUAACUAAGUAAAAAAAUUAAUCGUCAAUAAAUAGGAAAAAUGCACAAAGAAGUAGAUAGAAAUAAUGGCGAUGUUAUACUUUAAAUUUUAAAAUAAGAUGAAAUAAAUAAUACAAAUAAAUAUUAUUGAUUAUUGAUAAAUGAAAUUGUGCUCAAGUGGAGGUGGUUUGUUAGCCCCUAAUAUUGAGACUUGACGGAUGUCGGGCAGAAUUCAUGUCAAGGGUUUGUGCAUUGCCCCUUGACAUGGGUUCGUUGAAGUGUUGGCAAGCAAUGUACAAGGCUGGCGUGUGUCUAAGUUGGUGAUGGACUAGGCAAGGCAGCUAGGCAAGGCAGCUUGAGUGUUGGCAAUGCAGCCUUGGUUCGUGGGCAUCGGCAAUGGCAAACGGAAGCACGGCACUUGACAAAGGCAUGCACGGGUCAGUGGGACGAAUUAAUUUAUAGCAGGGUGUGGCUAUGAAAACAAGGACGAGGCAAGGUCCAAGGAAAAGCUGGCUGGAGACAAAAAACGUGGGCAAUGUUGGAGGCAAGUGUGCAUGGCAUGUGACGAAGUGGUGUGCAAGGCAUGUGACGAAGUUGAAGACAUGUGCCAAGCACAUGAGCUGUUGGCUACAAAGAACUGAAGAUAACGCCAUUUCGUGGGAAGGGUUUGAAUUUUGAAUUCAAACAUAUUUGGCUCCUUAUUUUAGUUAAUACAUGUGCAUGGCACAUGGUAGAAACUGCCCAUAAUUGCCCCUUUGUAAACUGCCAUUGGCAGCCCCUCUUUAUAUGUUGUAUUUCGUUUUUGGCUAAGGCAAGUAGCAUAACAUAUGUGAGCCAAGUCUAAAACGUAAGUCC